GGCAUAAUAUCUAAUAGACUGCACAUUGCAAAUGAAGGCAACAAGGAAACACAGCAAGAUGGAAAAAUACUUGAUUGAAGAGAGUAGACGACUCUUAUUGCCAUAAAAUAUUUCUGAAGUUGUGUUGCUAGAGUCCGAGCUGCUGGUUACGAAAACACUAAUCAACGAACUAAGAGUGAUUGCCACGGUUGCCAAAAGUGUAGAUGCCAUUAUGUUGUUGCGUAUUGUUUGUACUGCUAAAACACCAUUUUUCAAGGGAUCCUGAUACAUC
rnacentral:lncRNA from 1 species